GACGAACGCUGGCGGCGUGCCUAAUACAUGCAAGUAGAACGCUGAAGGAGGAGCUUGCUUCUCUGGAUGAGUUGCGAACGGGUGAUUAACGCGUAGGUAACCUGCCUGGUAGCGGGGGAUAACUAUUGGAAACGAUAGCUAAUACCGCAUAAUAGCAGUUGUUGCAUGACAACUGUUUGAAAGGUGCAAUUGCACCACUACCAGAUGGACCUGCGUUGUAUUAGCUAGUUGGUGGGGUAACGGCUCACCAAGGCGACGAUACAUAGCCGACCUGAGAGGGUGAUCGGCCACACUGGGACUGAGACACGGCCCAGACUCCUACGGGAGGCAGCAGUAGGGAAUCUUCGGCAAUGGACGGAAGUCUGACCGAGCAACGCCGCGUGAGUGAAGAAGGUUUUCGGAUCGUAAAGCUCUGUUGUAAGAGAAGAACGAGUGUGAGAGUGGAAAGUUCACACUGUGACGGUAUCUUACCAGAAAGGGACGGCUAACUACGUG
rnacentral:rRNA from 1 species